rnacentral:rRNA from 1 species
CCUACGGGAGGCAGCAGUGAGGAAUUUUCCGCAAUGGGCGAAAGCCUGACGGAGCAAUACCGCGUGAGGGAUGAAGGAUUUUGGUCUGUAAACCUCUUUUCUCAAGAAAGAAGUUCUGACGGUACUUGAGGAAUAAGCAUCGGCUAACUCCGUGCCAGCAGCCGCGGUAAUACGGGGGAUGCAAGCGUUAUCCGGAAUGAUUGGGCGUAAAGCGCCUGUAGGUUGUUUAUUAAGUCCGUUGUUAAAGCCUAGGGCUUAACCCUAGAAAAGCAAUGGAAACUAGUAGACUAGAGUAUGGCAGGGGUAGAGGGAAUUUCUAGUGUAGCGGUGAAAUGCGUAGAUAUUAGAAAGAACACCGGUGGCGAAAGCGCUCUACUGGACCAUUACUGACACUCAGAGACGAAAGCUAGGGUAGCAAAAGGGAUUAGAUACCCCUGUAGUCCUAGCCGUAAACGAUGGAUACUAGAUGUUGUGCAUUAUGUACAGUAUCGUAGCUAACGCGUUAAGUAUCCCGCCUGGGGAGUACGCUCGCAAGGGUGAAACUUAAAGGAAUUGACGGCUGAGANGCGACGACGACACGAGGAGAG